UGCUUGUCUCGCACUCUCUGCUGCUCCUGCAGGCAGCUUGCAACAGCGAGGUUUUCCCCCCCAUGCGGUGCAUCUGAGAGACAGCUGACAUCCUUGGCGAGAGCUCUGCUUUCUGCAGCAUCCCCCUCCCCGUACAUAAAAAGACACAAGGAGCAGUGGCAGGGCUGACAGAAAGCCAAGGUGCAAAAUGUUGGAGAGAAUGUUCUGAUAUUCAAAGCUGGAAAGGAUUCUGUUCCCCAGGCUUACAUUCUCCAUCCUAGCCACCAGCAAACAGAACUAUUGCUGCAAAACCUCAUGCCACGAAGCACAGUGCUAGUCUGGGGUCUGAGGGAAUUGCAAGGAUUCACAGAGGGGUCGGGGGACAUCUUUUCCUGCAUCAACAGGCAUCACUAUGCCCCAGUGACUCAGCUCUCAACAAGAGAACAAUACUUUUGCAGCACAGCUGGAGAACAAGGCACAUCUCUGAGGGAUUCCUUGUACUCUGCCACCAAGGAGCACCACAUCACAACUUCCUCCUUGCUUCUGACAGACUCUCAUCUGGAAUACAUGGAUCAAUCUUUGGGAAUUAACAACUGAUUAUCAUUCUUUGUGGACCGGAAAGACUUUUCAUUCCCUAGUGAAAAGCAACAAAUUAGCAAAGAGAGAUCUCCUGAAACGCAGUUGCUUCUAAAGUCUAAUUCUAUGUGCACAGUCAAUCCUAUGCAUAUACACCAAAGAUAUUGGGUCAGACAGACUGAGGGGUUGCUUGUUCACACAGUCAGUUUUGUCUCCACGCAAAGGCUCCCUGGGGAUGCAUUCACACACAGCAAAUCUCCCAUACGGACUGGAAUCUCGACUGAUAACACUUGCACUUUUUUAGCGGCAAUUUCUGUAAUCACAGCAACACAAUUUGCAGCCACCGUGAUAACAGGAAUCAUUCCUGAGAAGUAGCAGCUGCCUCCAUUGAAAGCUCGGUUAAUAUGAAACAUUCUCUGCAUGAUGCAUCCCUGGAGUGCAUGGUGGAGAGACAAAAUUGACCGCGUUGACCUGCCUGGAGUCAGUUAUUUCAUAUCAAUACAACAGUUUCCUUUUUAACAUGUCAUGGAAAACACGGAGUUAACAGCAUUGACACUCUCUCUCUCUCUCUCUCUCUCUCUCUCUCUCUCUCUCUCGGUCUCUCUCACACACACAUACACAGCAAUUUUGUAAUACUUUCCAAACUAAUAUUAUCAGACAGACCCUUAUGUCUCUGACCUUCUGUUCUCAAGGCAAUCCAAAACAAAUCUGAUCGCUACAACAAAUAUUUUCAUAUGUUCCUUUUCUGCAGAAUCACAGGGUUUGCAACAUUUUCUUUAAU